CCGUAGGAGGCAAGCGUUAUCCGGAUUCACUGGGCGUAAAGCGCGUGCAGGUGGUGCGGUAAGUUGGCGUGAAAUCUCCCGGCUCAACUGGGAGAGGUCGUUCAAUACUACCGUGCUUGAGAGCAGAAGAGGAAGAUGGAAUUCCCGGUGUAGUGGUGAAAUGCGUAGAUAUCGGGAGGAACACCAGUGGCGAAGGCGAUCUUCUGGUCUGUUUCUGACACUCAGACGCGACAGCUAGGGUAGUAAACGGGAUUAGAGACCCCGGUAAUCCUAGCCGUAAACGAUGUGAACUUGGCGUUGGUGGGUUAAACUCCAUCAGUGCCGUAGCAAACGCGAUAAGUUCACCGCCUGGGGACUACGGCCGCAAGGUUA
rnacentral:rRNA from 1 species